rnacentral:rRNA from 1 species
GUGAGGAAUUUUCCGCAAUGGGCGAAAGCCUGACGGAGCAAUGCCGCGUGAAGGAUGAAGGCCUAUGGGUUGUAAACUUCUUUUCUCAGAAAAGAAUUAUGACGGUAUCUGAGGAAUAAGCAUCGGCUAACUCUGUGCCAGCAGCCGCGGUAAGACAGAGGAUGCAAGCGUUAUCCGGAAUGAUUGGGCGUAAAGCGUCUGUAGGUUGUUUAAAAAGUAUUCUGUCAAAGAUUAGGGCUUAACCCUAGAUAGGCAGAAUAAACUUUUAAGCUAGAGUUUGGUAGAGGCAGAGGGAAUUCCCGGUGGAGCGGUGAAAUGCGUAGAUAUCGGGAGGAACACCAAAGGCGAAGGCACUCUGCUGGGCCAAUACUAACACUGAGAGACGAAAGCGAGGGGAGCAAAUGGGAUUAGAUACCCCUGUAGUCC